rnacentral:rRNA from 1 species
CUACGGGGUGCACCAGUGAGGAAUAUUGCACAAUGGGGGGAACCCUGAUGCAGCAACGCCGCGUGGAGGAUGACGCAUUUCGGUGUGUAAACUCCUUUUAUAUGUCAAGAAAAUGACGGUAGCAUAUGAAUAAGCACCGGCUAACUCCGUGCCAGCAGCCGCGGUAAUACGGGGGGUGCAAGCGUUACUCGGAAUCACUGGGCGUAAAGGACGCGUAGGCGGGUUGGAAAGUCAGUGUGAAAUCCUACAGCUUAACUGUAGAACUGCACUUGAAACUUCUAAUCUAGAGUAUGGGAGGGGGAGAUGGAAUUAGUGGUGUAGGGGUAAAAUCCGUAGAUAUCACUAGGAAUACCUAAAGCGAAGGCGAUCUCCUGGAACAUUACUGACGCUAAGGCGUGAAAGCGUGGGGAGCAAACAGGAUUAGAUACCCUCGUAGUC